AGAGUUUCUUCCUGGCUCAGGACGAACGCUGGCGGCGUGCCUAAUACAUGCAAGUCGAGCGAGCUUGCCUAGAUGAUUUUAUUGCUUGCACUAAAUGAAACUAGAUACAAGCGAGCGGCGGACGGGUGAGUAACACGUGGGUAACCUGCCCAAGAGACUGGGAUAACACCUGGAAACAGAUGCUAAUACCGGAUAACAACACUAGACGCAUGUCUAGAGUUUGAAAGAUGGUUCUGCUAUCACUCUUGGAUGGACCUGCGGUGCAUUAGCUAGUUGGUAAGGUAACGGCUUACCAAGGCAAUGAUGCAUAGCCGAGUUGAGAGACUGAUCGGCCACAUUGGGACUGAGACACGGCCCAAACUCCUACGGGAGGCAGCAGUAGGGAAUCUUCCACAAUGGACGAAAGUCUGAUGGAGCAACGCCGCGUGAGUGAAGAAGGGUUUCGGCUCGUAAAGCUCUGUUGGUAGUGAAGAAAGAUAGAGGUAGUAACUGGCCUUUAUUUGACGGUAAUUACUUAGAAAGUCACGGCUAACUACGUGCCAGCAGCCGCGGUAAUACGUAGGUGGCAAGCGUUGUCCGGAUUUAUUGGGCGUAAAGCGAGUGCAGGCGGUUCAAUAAGUCUGAUGUGAAAGCCUUCGGCUCAACCGGAGAAUUGCAUCAGAAACUGUUGAACUUGAGUGCAGAAGAGGAGAGUGGAACUCCAUGUGUAGCGGUGGAAUGCGUAGAUAUAUGGAAGAACACCAGUGGCGAAGGCGGCUCUCUGGUCUGCAACUGACGCUGAGGCUCGAAAGCAUGGGUAGCGAACAGGAUUAGAUACCCUGGUAGUCCAUGCCGUAAACGAUGAGUGCUAAGUGUUGGGAGGUUUCCGCCUCUCAGUGCUGCAGCUAACGCAUUAAGCACUCCGCCUGGGGAGUACGACCGCAAGGUUGAAACUCAAAGGAAUUGACGGGGGCCCGCACAAGCGGUGGAGCAUGUGGUUUAAUUCGAAGCAACGCGAAGAACCUUACCAGGUCUUGACAUCUCCCUGACCGGUGAGUAAAGUCACCUUUCCUUCGGGACAGGGAAGACAGGUGGUGCAUGGUUGUCGUCAGCUCGUGUCGUGAGAUGUUGGGUUAAGUCCCGCAACGAGCGCAACCCUUAUUCUUAGUAGCCAGCAGGUAAAGCUGGGCACUCUGGGAAGACUGCCAGGGAUAACCUGGAGGAAGGUGGGGAUGACGUCAAAUCAUCAUGCCCCUUAUGAUUUGGGCUACACACGUGCUACAAUGGCGUAAACAAAGGGAGGCAAAGGAGUAAUCUGGAGCAAACCCCAAAAAUAACGUCUCAGUUCGGACUGUGGUCUGCAACCCGACCACACGAAGCUGGAAUCGCUAGUAAUCGCGAGUCAGAAUGUCGCGGUGAAUACGUUCCCGGGUCUUGCACACACCGCCCGUCA
rnacentral:rRNA from 1 species